rnacentral:lncRNA from 1 species
UAAAAUGAAAUAGAUGAAGUAUAGCGUAGAAUCGGGGCCACGCUGUCGGCAUCAGUCGAACAGGGGUUAGCAGGUGAAGCUUUGGUUGUGGUGGUUGCGAUGAAUUUGAUAUCGCUGAUGUCGACGCGCGAACUAAUUUGAUCGUUCGAAGGAUAUUAGAGAUGGGUUCAGGCGUGAUUAUCUUUUAAGCGUAAAUCAAAAUCCAAGGAUUAAGACUUUCAUAGCUUAAUAUACAAAUCAGUAGAAGAUGAACACGCCGGUUUGGGGUACUAAUCACACUUUCCCCCUAAGUUUUUCCCCCCCUUUCUUGGACGAUAACAUUGCCCUUUCAGAAUCAAUCCCAGAUUCCUUUUGUUUCUAUCUCAAGAAGAUGAUGAACGCAGAGAUGAAUUUGAUUGAAUCAAUCGAUUAAAGACCGGGUUGAUGUUUCAGGAGGGCUUCGUUUCAGGCGGUCAUUCCGGCUUUCUCUCCGGCUCCAUUCAUGUUCUGAAAGUCGUUCUUGGUGUACAGGGUGAAUCGCUACAGUUUUCUUAAGUCUGGGUGUGGAAGUGGAGGCGAAAGAGUAGAUUUUGCUUUGUAUAUACGACCACUGUGUCCCCCCCUUUCUGUGCCGAG